AUAUCUGCUUAUUUAAGAAGCACCCAUCUGUACUAAAUUCUUAUUUGCUUAUUUGAGAAGCAUCAAUCUGUACUAAAUUGUUAUCUGCUUAUUUAAGAAGCACAUUGUUGUAAAAUCAUUUGUAAAAAGAGAAAAGGUUAGAGUUAGUUUAUUUUAUAUACCUGUGAGAAAGACGAGUAAUUCUUCGACCAAGACCAGAGUCUUAGAGAGGUCAGCGGGAAGUUGGGUCUCUAGUGUACUUGUG
rnacentral:lncRNA from 1 species